CUGUGGAAACGCAGGGAGAGCGUCUCGGAUCAUUGACAACUAAAUAGGAGCAGCAACGUCCAAUUAAAGGGCCCUGAUCACGAAACACAGGAACAAAAUGAAUCUGGAGAGUUUGAUCCUGGCUCAGAACGAACGCUGGCGGCGUGCCUAACACAUGCAAGUCCAACGUGAAAGGGGAGCAAUCCCCCGGUAGGGUGGCAAACGGGUGAGUAAUACAUGGGUGAUCUACCUUAGGGAUGGGGAUAUCCUUCCGAAAGGAGGGGCAAUACCGAAUAUUGUCCGGAGCCGUGAAGGGUUCCGGGGAAAGGGAGGCCUCUGAUACAAGCUUUCGCCUUAAGAUGAGCCCAUGGCCCAUCAGCUAGUUGGUAGGGUAAAGGCCUACCAAGGCUACGGACGGGUCGCUGGUCUGAGAGGACGACCAGCCACACUGGCAC
rnacentral:rRNA from 1 species